UUAAAAUUUCAAAGUAAUUAUAUAAUAAACACAAAGAAUUCUCAAAGAUCUUUUAAAGAAAUCAUAAAGGAAUAACAUAGAAAUUCAAAAAAAAAUACUAAAAUAGAAAUCUUAAUAAAAUAUUAAAAUAAAAACCUUAAUUAAAUUCCAGUCAAAAUUUAGUCAAAUCUUAAUCAAACCUUAAUCAAAUAUUGAUCAAAUCCUUGUGAAAUCCUAGUCAAUUCCUAAAUAAACCCUAAUCAAAUCAUAAACAAAUCUUAGUCAAAUCCUAAUCAAAUAUUAAACAAAUCUUAAUCAAAUCUUAAAAAAAUCCUAAUCAAUCCUUAGUCAAACUCUAAUCAAACCUUAAACAAAUCUUAACCAAAUCGUAAUCAAAUCGUAAUCAAAUUCUAAACAAACUCUAAUAAAAUCCUAACAAAAUCCUAAUUAAAUCCUAGUUAAAUCCUAGACAAACCGUAAAUAAGUCCUAACCAAAACCUAGACAAAUCUUGAUCAAAUCCUAAUCAAAUCCUAAACAAACCCUAAAAAAUCCUAAUAAAUCCUAA
rnacentral:lncRNA from 1 species